AGUCUUGUCUGUGGACACUGUGCUAAACAAGCAGUAUGUGAACAGGUGGAUGGAUCUUGUCCUGCGGGAUACUGUGAACCAGGAUGGAAAUAUACACUUGAUCAAAGAUGCAAUGAAGAAUGUGAUGAAGGAACUUACGGGUUAUAAUGUAGUCACAGAUGUGGAUACUGUGCAAAAGGAGUAUCGUGCAACAAAGUUGAUGGGAGCUGCCUCGGAGGUUGUGAAGAUGGAUGGACGAAUCUCUACUGCAAUGAAACUUGCUUGACAAAUUUCUACGGAAAAAACUGCAGUUUUCUGUGUGGACAAUGCGCAAACAACGCAACAUGUGAUCACGUGACAGGACUCUGUCCUUCUGGACUCUUUGAACGAGGAUGGAAAAAUACAAGUGAUAAAA